rnacentral:rRNA from 1 species
CCUACGGGAGGCAGCAGUGGGGAAUUUUGGACAAUGGGGGAAACCCUGAUCCAGCCAUGCCGCGUGUGUGAAGAAGGCCUUCGGGUUGUAAAGCACUUUCGGCCGGAACGAAAUCGCGUGGGUGAAUAUCCCGCGUGGAUGACGGUACCGGAAGAAGAAGCACCGGCUAACUACGUGCCAGCAGCCGCGGUAAUACGUAGGGUGCGAGCGUUAAUCGGAAUUACUGGGCGUAAAGUGUGCGCAGGCGGCGUCGCAAGUCGAGUGUGAAAGCCCCGGGCUUAACUUGGGAAUUGCGCUCGAAACUACGGUGCUGGAGUAUGGCAGAGGAAGGUGGAAUUCCACGUGUAGCGGUGAAAUGCGUAGAGAUGUGGAGGAACACCGAUGGCGAAGGCAGCCUUCUGGGCCAAUACUGACGCUCAUGCACGAAAGCGUGGGGAGCAAACAGGAUUAGAUACCCUGGUAGUCCACGCCCUAAACGAUGAUGACUAGUUGUUGGAGGAGUUAAAUCCUUUAGUAACGCAGCUAACGCGUGAAGUCAUCCGCCUGGGGAGUACGGUCGCAAGAUUAA